AGAGUUUGAUCCUGGCUCAGGACGAACGCUGGCGGCGUGCCUAACACAUGCAAGUCGAGCGAGGACAGAGAAGUAGCAAUACGACUUUGUUCUAGCGGCGGACGGGUGAGUAACGCGUGAGCAACCUGUCCCGAACAGGGGGAUAACGAGCCGAAAGGCUCACUAAUACCGCAUGAGACCACAACGUCACAUGACGAAGGGGUCAAAGGAGAAAUCCGGUUCGGGGUGGGCUCGCGUCUGAUUAGCUAGUUGGUGGGGUAACGGCCUACCAAGGCGACGAUCAGUAGCCGACCUGAGAGGGUGAUCGGCCACAUUGGAACUGAGAGACGGUCCAAACUCCUACGGGAGGCAGCAGUGGGGAAUAUUGGGCAAUGGGCGAAAGCCUGACCCAGCAACGCCGCGUGAAGGAAGAAGGUCUUCGGAUCGUAAACUUCUAUCCCCGGUGAAGAUAAUGACGGUAACCGGGAAGGAAGCCCCGGCUAACUACGUGCCAGCAGCCGCGGUAAUACGUAGGUGGCAAGCGUUGUCCGGAAUUAUUGGGCGUAAAGAGCAUGUAGGCGGGAAUCUAAGUCUGUUGUGAAAAUGCGGGGCUCAACCCCGUAUUGCGAUGGAAACUGGAUUUCUUGAGUGCAGGAGAGGAAAGGGGAAUUCCCAGUGUAGUGGUGAAAUGCGUAGAUAUUGGGAGGAACACCAGUGGCGAAGGCGCCUUUCUGGACUGUGUCUGACGCUGAGAUGCGAAAGCCAGGGGAGCGAACGGGAUUAGAUACCCCGGUAGUCCUGGCCGUAAACGAUGGGUACUAGGUGUAGGGGGUAUCGACCCCCCCUGUGCCGGAGUUAACGCAAUAAGUACCCCGCCUGGGGAGUACGGCCGCAAGGUUGAAACUUAAAGGAAUUGACGG
rnacentral:rRNA from 1 species